CCUACGGGUGGCAGCAGUGAGGAAUAUUGGUCAAUGGUCGUGAGCCUGAACCAGCCAAGUCGCGUGAGGGAAGACGGUCCUAUGGGUUGUAAACCUCUUUUGUCGGGGGGCAAAAUGCGCCACGCGUGGCGUUUCGAGGGUACCCGAAGAAAAAGCAUCGGCUAACUCCGUGCCAGCAGCCGCGGUAAUACGGAGGAUGCGAGCGUUAUCCGGAUUUAUGGGGUUUAAAGGGUGCGUAGGCGGGCAUUUAAGCCGGCGGUAAAAUGUCGGGGCUCAACCACGGCCUGCGGGCGGAACUGGGUGCCUUGAGUGGGCGGGAAGUAUGCGGAAUGCGUGGUGUAGCGGUGAAAUGCAUAGAUAUCACGCAGAACUCCGAUUGCGAAGGCAGCAUACCGGCGCCCUACUGACGCUGAGGCACGAAGGCGCGGGUAUCGAACAGGAUUAGAUACCCGAGUAGUC
rnacentral:rRNA from 1 species